CUCCACUUGCUGAUGCAACAAUUUACUUUACUUUACAUAAAAGGACGAGUAAUUCGUUUCACAGGUAAGAUUCAUGGGAUGGAUAGUACGAAAUUUUUUUAAUUUCAAUAUUGGACAUUAAAGUCAUAAAAAACCUUGUAAAAUUUGUGGUCAUAAGACUUACUGUUUUGUUUUAGCCCUGGCGAUCUGUCUUACACAGAUUUUUCCGGUGAAAAUAAUUUCUUAGUUAAUGUAAUACACUUAAUAUAGACCAGGAUUAAGCACAAGGCCAGAGAGGGGAGCAACGAGGGCAAAAUAGCCAGGGCCACUACACUGGAUUCACUUGUUAUAUGACAUCAACAUAUAGUCGUGUACUGUUAACAAGUCAACUGUUAACAAGUCAACUGUUAACAAGUCAACUGUUAACAAGUCAACUGUUAACAAGUCAACUGUUAAUGGUCCGCAUACAAUAAAUUGACUUGUCCGAUUUUGUCAUAUAAACAAAACUCCUGAUUUUAAUAGUCCUGAAACUGUUAAAUUUGAUGUUGUGAGCAGUGGCAUAGCCAGACUGAAACAGAAGUGGGGAAACAAUCAAUUGUGUCAUCAAGAAAUUGGUGGGUGGGUCAGUGAGGGAGCUGCCAAAGGCAUGAGCCUGUUAGCGGGUCUGGGGGCACGCUUAUCCAGAAGAUUUUAAAUCUGAGGCCUCUCAGAGCCCUGAAAUGCAAUCAAAUUCACUAGCUCAGUAAGGGACCAGUCAUUAUUAAUGCCGGGUAGGGGGCUGGAGGAAAUUUAGAGGGGCCACAAAAAGUUUUAACCAUUGAAGUGGGGGGGGGGAGAAAAUAUUUUGAACAUAAAGGGGGGGGGGCAAAAAAUAAAAUCUAUGGAAUAGUUUGUAACAUGUAAUAUCAAAAAGAGUAAUGGAUAUAUACAGUAUACAUACUUAUUUUUCACCCUGCUCGGUUUCCUUUGUUCUUGUCGGGGAAUAUAUUCAAUAUUCCCCUCUAAUCAAUUUCCGUUUAAUAAUCCCCUCUAAUAUUCACCUGCAAUUAAUAAUCCCCUCUAAUAUUCACCUGCAAUGUCUUUGCAGCACAAAAAAUGAGAAAAAACAACAUCGCGAAGGCAAUAUGGCAUUAAGAAUUAUUUCUUUUCUGACUCGUUAACGUGACCUCGCAGUGUGAAAAAUAAGUACGUUAUUUUGAGGCACCUCGGGGAUAUGUGUUUAUUCACCUCGGCGCUACGCGCCUCGGUGAAUAAAUCACAUAUCCCCUCGUUGUCUCAAAAUAACCUAUACAUACAUUGAACAGUAAUGCCCAAUAUAUUGAACCUAAAGUUGUGUUCUAACUACUGUAUAUGGAAAUUGUCAUCCUCAUCAUCACCGUAGAAUUUGUCUGAAGGGUCAUGCACUGUAUUUGCAACUAUGCAAGAUUCAAUUGACAGUUGUUGUCCUGUUUUACGCUUUUUAACACAGCUAGCAGACCUCUUUGGCAUGUUCUGUUUCUGCAUGUUGUUGACAGUCUCUUCUGCCAUCUCUUCAAUAUAAUGCUUCCACCAGACACAAAUGUUUUUUUAUCAAUUAGUAAAAGACUAGGCCUGAUGUGUGGUUUUUUUGUUUGAGGGCCAACAACUUUUCAGGUAUAAAGUCUGAAUUGUCUAUUGUUAUAUUGUGAAACUAAAGUCACUCCUGUCCACCUUGGCUAUCAUUUUCAAUAUUUACAAUAUUCUUUACAGCUGCAAGUAAACUGAGUAUGAGGGCAGGAAAAAUGCUUACGAAACUGACUUAGAUUCAUUGAAUUCAGAAUUGGGGGGAGGGGGCUAUGAAAUAUGGUGCCUCAAUGGGGGGGGGAUAAAUUUUGAUUUUGUUAGAAAAAUAAGGGGUCAUGAGAAAUUUUUGCUAUUCAUAAAAAUUUCCUCCAGCCCCCUACCCGGCAUUAAUAAUGACUUGUCCCUAAAAACAAUCCGUAAGAAUCAUUUACAAAAAAAAUCAUGUACUGGACAUGUAUUUCCACAACCAAGUGGAAUACACAAAGAACUACAGCAAGAAUGUUUUUAUUAAAUUAAUUAACCUAACUGUGGAUCCUUCCUCUCUCUUGAACAAAUUGUUAUCUUUGCCUGUCAUUGUCUUGACUUUCUUGGAAUUAGUUACAGAGAAACUAUGAUUAACUAGUGGAUAAUGAUUCACCAUUUCAGUACUAUGUAAAAAUACUUUUAUUAGCUAAUACACAUGUCAUGCAGUUUUAUGGAUGAGAAGUAUCCACAAUUUUGAUAAAUGCUGUUUUUGAGGUGGGAAAAUGUGUAAUAAUAUUAGUGUAAUAUGAUUGUUGUCUUUUGUCUUGCAGGAAUUAUUGGUUAUGUUGCGGGCAUCACAGAACAUGGGACAAGGCAUUAAAAUACAGAAUAGCCAAAAGCGAAGUCAUAAUAAUUAAUACCACAGUAACUUAAUUAUCUGAUGGCAAUCAUAGAUGGAUUUUUUGGGGGGAUGCAGGUGGUGUGCACCCCCAAAAAUAUUUUCACCACCUCAGAAAGUUUUCCCACCCCACCUAGAGAUAUUUGCACCCACCCCAGAAAUUUAAAUGCUGGUUUGAUUAAAUGACAGCAGUAUAAUUGAACUAAAUAAGAACUAAAUAAGACUUAAAACAAGGCCAAAAAUCUCAAAAUAUCCUGGGGGUCGGUGCCCCCAACCAUACCCCAACUCUGUCCCCACUAGUGACUGUUAACCCUCAGCAUGGGCAUACAGGAAGGAAAAAAUUAGGCGGACGGAAAGAAAUUUGCCUGACUUUUUCGGAUUGUGCCCGAGUUGUCAUAAAAAAAUUUCCAGAGAAACUUUCCGAAAUUGUUGUCAACAGGGGGGGGAGGAUGCUACGAAAAAUUCCUAUUGGAUAGCAUAUUUCCCACAAAAUUGACAGAAUAAUAAGCCAAUACUGCCCAACUGGCUUUGUUUGCCCAACAAACUGGGGGGGGGGCACACCCAUGGUAGACCCCGGUAGACCCUGCUGCAUCUUACUCAGCACACUAUGUGCUCACUUUCCACCCCUGAAUUUUUCUGCACACCCCCACCCCAAGCAAAAUUUGAAAAUGUCUAUAGAUUAUGGUGAUGAUAACAUAAAAGUAUAAACCUUUAUUACCGUAAGUUAAUGUUAAUUAAUUAAGACUAUUAAGUUAACACAUGAUCCACUACAUCAUGUACACUUAAUUAAUUACAAUAAUUUUAGUGUUAAUUUAAAAUUAUUCACUGUUAAUAAUUCUACUGUAUUGAAGAAGUUCAAAUAAAAUAGUUCAAAAUUAAUCCAGCUUUUGUGUCUUCAAUUUCCAUACAUCUUGCUUGGUA
rnacentral:lncRNA from 1 species